rnacentral:rRNA from 1 species
AUUGAACGCUGGCGGCAGGCCUAACACAUGCAAGUCGAGCGGCAGCGGGACCUUCGGGUUGCCGGCGAGCGGCGGACGGGUGAGUAAUGCCUAGGAAUCUGCCUGUUAGUGGGGGAUAACGCGGGGAAACUCGCGCUAAUACCGCAUACGUCCUACGGGAGAAAGCGGGGGCUCUUCGGACCUCGCACUAUCAGAUGAGCCUAGGUCGGAUUAGCUAGUUGGUGAGGUAAAGGCUCACCAAGGCGACGAUCCGUAACUGGUCUGAGAGGAUGAUCAGUCACACUGGAACUGAGACACGGUCCAGACUCCUACGGGAGGCAGCAGUGGGGAAUAUUGGACAAUGGGCGAAAGCCUGAUCCAGCCAUGCCGCGUGUGUGAAGAAGGUCUUCGGAUUGUAAAGCACUUUAAGUUGGGAGGAAGGGCAGUAAGUUAAUACCUUGCUGUUUUGACGUUACCAACAGAAUAAGCACCGGCUAACUACGUGCCAGCAGCCGCCGUAAAAC